UGAGACACGGCCCAGACUCCUACGGGAGGCAGCAGUGGGGAAUAUUGCACAAUGGGCGGAAGCCUGAUGCAGCGACGCCGCGUGAGGGAUGACGGCCUUCGGGUUGUAAACCUCUUUCGACAGGGACGAAGCGCAAGUGACGGUACCUGUAGAAGAAGCACCGGCCAACUACGUGCCAGCAGCCGCGGUAAUACGUAGGGUGCGAGCGUUGUCCGGAAUUACUGGGCGUAAAGAGCUUGUAGGCGGUUUGUCGCGUCGUCCGUGAAAACUUGGGGCUCAACCCCAAGCUUGCGGGCGAUACGGGCAGACUUGAGUACUUCAGGGGAGACUGGAAUUCCUGGUGUAGCGGUGAAAUGCGCAGAUAUCAGGAGGAACACCGGUGGCGAAGGCGGGUCUCUGGGAAGUAACUGACGCUGAGAAGCGAAAGCGUGGGUAGCGAACAGGAUUAGAUACCCUGGUAGUCCACGCCGUAAACGGUGGGUACUAGGUGUGGGUUUCCUUCCACGGGAUCCGUGCCGUAGCUAACGCAUUAAGUACCCCGCCUGGGGAGUACGGCCGCAAGGCUAAAACUCAAAGGAAUUGACGGGGGCCCGCACAAGCGGCGGAGCAUGUGGAUUAAUUCGAUGCAACGCGAAGAACCUUACCUGGGUUUGACAUACACCGGAAACCUGCAGAGAUGUAGGCCCCCUUGUGGUCGGUGUACAGGUGGUGCAUGGCUGUCGUCAGCUCGUGUCGUGAGAUGUUGGGUUAAGUCCCGCAACGAGCGCAACCCUUGUCCUGUAUUGCCAGCGGGUUAUGCCGGGGACUUGCAGGAGACUGCCGGGGUCAACUCGGAGGAAGGUGGGGACGACGUCAAGUCAUCAUGCCCCUUAUGUCCAGGGCUUCACACAUGCUACAAUGGCCGGUACAGAGGGCUGCGAUACCGUGAGGUGGAGCGAAUCCCUUAAAGCCGGUCUCAGUUCGGAUCGGGGUCUGCAACUCGACCCCGUGAAGUUGGAGUCGCUAGUAAUCGCAGAUCAGCAACGCUGCGGUGAAUACGUUCCCGGGCCUUGUACACACCGCCCGUCACGUCAUGAAAGU
rnacentral:rRNA from 1 species